GUGGUCGCUUCGGCAGCACAUAAACUAAAAUUGGAAUGACACAGAGAAAACUAGCAUUGGCCCCUGUGCACAGAUAACACGCAAAUUCAUGAAACAUCUGGAAUUUUU
ensembl:snRNA U6 U6 spliceosomal RNA